CCAACCAGACUGAGACAAUUGCAGGACCCAAAGUAGAAGUGGGUGACACUGGGGUGACAGCUCACCUGCAGAGAACGUGAGCUGUAUCUGCUCCUCGAUGAUCUCCAGCGCAAUGAAGUCGUGCUUCUCAUUGAAACGCCCGUUGUAGAGGAGGAGGGCGUUCCUUUCCCUGGUGGCAAACCUGGAACGCAGAGACCAGUAAUCAGGUAAUGCUCCCAGAAACGCAAGACUUUGACUCCUUCUUUAGACAGAAAAUUAUACAAUUAAGUAAGAGAGAGGUCAAAUACUUUAUUUCACAAUCAACAGAGGCAGCAUGAUGGAAAUUAGGGGAAUCUCUGCAGAGAUCUGCUGUGGAUGCUGGCCCUAACAAAAGGUAAAAUGAUGCAGAGGCACAGCUCAGGGAAACCGUGUGAUGCUCUAUUACGCUCCUGUCUGUAAAGCUGUUCACAGAAAUUGGAGAUGGCUUGUAGAGACGAAUUUUACUCGAAGUACAGAACAGUGCCUGGGCUUAUUUAGAAACACGGCCGUGGUGGCUUUAUUACGUAGCCACCUGAGCAAGCACUUAUUUGAAGCACUGCUUUGAUCAGAAGCACCCAAUCCAUUUUGGCACCACAACACCCCCUUCGCGCAGCUCUGCAUCUUGUCACUCCCAAGGGCGGCCGCCUCGCCCCAGCCACAUCUCCAUCCCACAGCACUGUCCUACGGGAGUGCUGAGGCCUGCAAAACACACAAAAAUUGAAGUGAAUCCUGCGUGUACUCAAAGGAAGAGCUGGUUGCUGGCUGACGUGCAGAAGCCGAAGUUGGAAGCCCCUAAGGGAAGAGCUCAUGAAGGAGCCGGAACGGAAGGGAUGUCCAUCAGGCACAGCACCCGCAUUCAGGAUGAAGAAUGAGGAGCCUGUGCGCCCGCUCCAGCUGAAGGUCAGAGGGCUGAGCCUGCAGAGGAAUUUCGGCAUGGUUGGAGGCGAUGUCUCGCAGUCCGGUGGGAAAAAAUAGUACAGAGAGGAAGGCGAGCUGCUGCAGGGGGCUGCAGGGGAUCAGGUGAGAAGAGCACAGCCCAGAAGGACACCACAGGCAGCCUGGGGAUGGUUUGUGAAGCUGGAGAUGUCGGCGUGGCUCACCCUGCCACCCAGGCUGCCCUCCGCACCUCACCAUGUUUCCUUCGUUAAUAUAAGUUUGUUUUUUUUCCACAUUGGCCGACUUUUUAGAAAUCGCCUAAAAACUACUUAGACAUCACAACUCGGUGAAAUCCACACAGGAAACAUCAAGCUUAGUCCCUCCAGCUGCUAAAUCCAGAGCAUGUGCUGUCAGAUAACAUGGGCCGUGUCUGCCGGUUAUCUGCUGGGCAGAUUCCUGGGCUGUGAAAAGCUGCUGGACCAAGCCCACAUGUGGUUUACUGUUACAGGAUAGUGGCUGAUCUUAUAUUCUCCCCAUUAAUAUUGAUGACUCUUAAAGAUACACAUCCUGUGGCUUUACAUGGCCCUUUAUGUCAUGUUUCCCAGUUUUAAAGCCCUUGAGAUUACGAUAGCUGCGCUUUUGACACUGAUUCCUCCUCUAAAUUGUACUGCCUUUCAUAUGCCUCUUCUUCAGUUUUAGGAUUAACUUUACAAAGAUGUUAAUCAUAACAUUUCUCACAGGAAUUAUAUGUAAGUGAGGGCACCAUGGUAUCAGGCAUAAUACAACAAGAACAGGCAAAGAAAAGAUUGGCUAGAAAAUGGCUUCAUUUGGUUCCUCUCUGACACAUAGUCCAAAUAAAGUAAUGGAAUAGUUUGAUGAAUGAGCAAUAAAUGAUGAUAAACAAGUGGAAAGAAAUAAAAGUAAGCUACUUCAAGUAUGAAAUCAUAAUCUUAUAAUUGCAAAUACAUUGUGAGCUGAACAUUAUGCACACCAACAGCACACUUACAUGCACUGGAGUCGUCUUUCCAGAAACCCGCCUGUGGUUUUGUUGGUGAGUUGCUUGAUGACCUUACAAUGACAGACAGUGCAUAAUGUUGGGAAACUUGCUGGAAACAAUGUGAUGGCAUUGGAAUAAACACAGAGUUAUUCUACUCUUUGCUUUACUGCAAUAUCCCUGUUUAAGGACUAAUCCUCAAAACUUUGUACAAUUCUCUGAUGGUCUUCAGGUGGUACACUACGUUAAAU
rnacentral:lncRNA from 1 species